UACGUAGGGCGCAAGCGUUAUCCGGAAUUAUUGGGCGUAAAGAGCUCGUAGGCGGUUUGUCGCGUCUGCCGUGAAAGUCCGGGGCUCAACUCCGGAUCUGCGGUGGGUACGGGCAGACUAGAGUGAUGUAGGGGAGACUGGAAUUCCUGGUGUAGCGGUGAAAUGCGCAGAUAUCAGGAGGAACACCGAUGGCGAAGGCAGUGAUCUGGGCCGGUACUGACGCUGAGGAGCGAAAGCGUGGGUAGCAAACAGG
rnacentral:rRNA from 1 species